UACGUAGGGGGCAAGCGUUGUCCGGAUUCAUUGGGCGUAAAGAGCGUGUAGGCGGCCAGGUAGGUCGGUUGUGAAAACUGGAGGCUCAACCUUCAGAGGUCGACCGAAACCAUCUGGCUAGAGUCCGGGAGAGGAGAGUGGAAUUCCUGGUGUAGCGGUGAAAUGCGCAGAUAUUAGGAAGAACACCGGUGGCGAAGGCGGCUCUCUGGAACGGUACUGACGCUGAGACGCGAAAGCGUGGGGAGCGAACAGG
rnacentral:rRNA from 1 species